UGUGAGAGCAAGAGCCCGGAGAUGGAUUCUGAGACACGAAUCCAGGCCCUACGGGGUGCAGCAGGCGCGAAAACUUUACAAUGCUGGCAACAGCGAUAAGGGAACCUCGAGUGCCAGGUUACAAAUCUGGCUGUCGAGAUGCCUAAAAAGCAUUGCAUAGCAAGGGCCGGGCAAGACCGGUGCCAGCCGCCGCGGUAACACCGGCGGCUCGAGUGGUAACCGUUAUUAUUGGGUCUAAAGGGUCUGUAGCCGGCCGGAUAAGUCUCUUGAGAAAUCCAGCAGCUCAACUGUUGGGCUUUCAGGAGAUACUGUUCGGCUCGAGGCCGGGAGAGGUGAGAGGUACUUCAGGGGUAGGGGUGAAAUCUUGUAAUCCUUGAAGGACCACCAGUGGCGAAGGCGUCUCACCAGAACGGACCUGACGGCAAGGGACGAAAGCUAGGGGCACGAACCGGAUUAGAUACCCGGGUAGUCCUAGCCGUAAACGAUACUCGCUAGGUGUCGGCCACGGUGCGACCGUUGUCGGUGCCGUAGGGAAGCCGUGAAGCGAG
rnacentral:rRNA from 1 species